GACGAACGCUGGCGGCGCGCUUAACACAUGCAAGUCGAGCGAAGCGGCGGACGGGUGAGUAACACGUGAGUGACAUGCCUUAGACCUUGGGAUAGCCUCGGGUAACCGGGAUUAAUACCAAAUGGUCUAAGAUGGACUUGCGUCCCAUUGGCUAGUUGGUGAGGUAACGGCCCACCAAGGCGACGAUGGGUAGCCGGCCUGAGAGGGUGAACGGACACAUUGGAACUGAGAAGCGGUCGAAACUCUACGGGAGGGGGCAGUGGGGAAUAUUGCACAAUGGAGGGAACUCUGAUGGAGCUACGCCGCGUGAACGAAGAAGGCUGUCGAGUCGUAAAGUUCUUUUAUAUGGGAAGCGGUACCAUAAGAAAAAGCCCCGGCUAACUACGUGCCAGCCGCCGCGGUAAUUC
rnacentral:rRNA from 1 species